GAGAACCCCAAACAACCCAAACUGUUAAUCUUCAAUACCGCUUUGUACUUACGAUCUUGUAUCCACUGACUGUCUUGUUAGAUUAACCCAAUAAAUUUCAUUCACUCCGCAUACUCAAUCCUAUAGACACCCUUUUAAUCCUUCAAUCACAGACGUGACUCAAUUUCACAAAAUAGUCAAGAGUAUUCAAACCCACUUCAUUAAAAAUCUCGAUUCACCAUUAUAAUACUGACUUCAGCAACGAUUGCCUCAGUCUUCCCAAAACUCUACGAAGAAGAAAAACCCAAAUUCUAUGUCUUUCCUUCACCGACCCGAAGUAUGAAGCU
rnacentral:lncRNA from 1 species